UUUAUGCAAAAUGAACUAAUGAGAAGCAGAAGUUAAAGCAGAGGAAAUAGAGUCCUCAAAAAGUGAAAGAAUACAAGGGCACGACAGAAAGAAGCAGACAUGCAAAGAGCAGCUAGGAUCCAGUGAUGAUGGAUCAUCAGAGGAAAGCUCCAUUCACUGAACACAGAGGGCUCCAGGGCAUCUCAAGAUGCAGAACCAACCUAAGGCUCCUGUUCCCCAAAGCUCAGGUGUCUUGUUUUCUCUUUAAUGGCAGCUGGACACAGACUCACUGCAGGCAGCCAUGCUUAUGAUGAAGUAUAACAAAGUCAGACAAAGAGGAGGAUGGACUGAGCCCUUAGUCAAAGGACUGAGCCUACCAGCCAGCUGAUGUCCUGGUACCAUUUGCCCUGAACGGUGACUGCUUCAGAUUGAGAGUCAUUUGCUAUAGUCUGCCUGUUUAAGAAAGCCCAGUCUCUCCAUAUAUCCAGUCCAUUCUGGGUUAAGUACCAAUAUUGAAUAUUUAUCACUAAGUCCCUUACACGUGAUAUUUAAAAAUGUCAUUUGUUAAUCAAUUGCUAUUAUCAUUUCUAUUGUAAAUCAAUGUAAGUACUUUCCAUGUAUGGGUUUGUUAGUAUUUUAUGCAUACCCCAUGGACCUGGAAAUUAGAGUAACCUCUUCUGAUUUAAUUGUAGUAGUUUCCAUUAGUCUCUCCUGGAUUUUUAGGGUUCUGUUCAUAGGACUGUCUUGUUUUCCCUUAGACUAGACUUCCGUGAUGGCCAUCAUCAUCAUAAUGUCAACAUAUAUUGGGUACUCACCAUGCUUGAAACAUUGCGUAACUAACACACUAACACUCAUUCAAUUCUGUAAGUUGCUACUUUUAUGAUUACUACUAGUAGUACUACUACCACUAGUACUACUAUUAUUAUUACCUCCAUUUUGUAGUUGAGGAAGUUGAGUCAUAGAGAAGCUUCUUGCCCACAGAUCACAAAACUGGGGAGGGUCGGAGCGAGAAUAUGUAACCUAUGUCUGUGUGACUCCAAAUUCUGAGCCCUCGAGAGGUCCACCAUUUACACUCCUCCCUGUCUAGGACCUAAAAAAAACUUCAUUUCUACUGGUUUCGCUAAAAUGGUGGCCCAAUGAAUGUCAGGUUAUGGACUAAUUUACCAAAUUAUAAGAACAUGAACUUAGUCUAAAGUGAAUGACAGCUACCUGAAUGUGAUGAGUCUAAGUGAUUGUCUAAGUUAAUCAGCUUCAGAAAAAACAGAGCUGCUUUGUAAGGGAAAGCAGUAAGUAUUAGGAAAAAUGGGUUUCUCUUUUUUUAUUCUUUUCUGUGUGCCACUGGGUAAGUUUCUAGCUUCUCUAUGCUUUAAUUCCUAGAGUUGGACUAGAUAGAGUUUAAGGCAGUGUUCUUCAAACUGCAUCUCAGAAGACAUUAGUGGGUUAUGAAAUCAAUUUAGUGAAUCACAACCAUCAUAUUUUAAGAAAUGAAGAGCAGACAUAAAUAUAUUUAUAGCAUUAGUACUAUCCUAUUUGUAGUAUUAGAAUGGUAGAAAAUAAAAAAUAGAGAUACUUAUCUCUAUAGUAAGAU
rnacentral:lncRNA from 1 species